rnacentral:rRNA from 2 species
CCAACCCCUGUGACAUACCACUUGUUGCCUCGGCGGAUCAGCCCGCUCCCGGUAAAACGGGACGGCCCGCCAGAGGACCCCUAAACUCUGUUUCUAUAUGUAACUUCUGAGUAAAACCAUAAAUAAAUCAAAACUUUCAACAACGGAUCUCUUGGUUCUGGCAUCGAUGAAGAACGCAGCAAAAUGCGAUAAGUAAUGUGAAUUGCAGAAUUCAGUGAAUCAUCGAAUCUUUGAACGCACAUUGCGCCCGCCAGUAUUCUGGCGGGCAUGCCUGUUCGAGCGUCAUUUCAACCCUCAAGCACAGCUUGGUGUUGGGACUCGCGUUAAUUCGCGUUCCUCAAAUUGAUUGGCGGUCACGUCCAGCUUCCAUAGCGUAGUAGUAAAACCCUCGUUACUGGUAAUCGUCGCGGCCACGCCGUUAAACCCCAACUUCUGAAUGUUGACCUCGGAUCAGGUAGGAAUACCCGCUGAACUUAAGCA